rnacentral:rRNA from 1 species
AUGAACGCUGGCGGCGUGCUUAACACAUGCAAGUCGAACGGAAAGGCCCCUUUGGGGGUACUCGAGUGGCGAACGGGUGAGUAACACGUGAGUAACCUGCCCUUGACUUCGGGAUAACUUCAGGAAACUGGGGCUAAUACCGGAUAGGAAUCCUUGCUGCAUGGUGGGGGUUGGAAAGCUUCGGCGGUUUUGGAUGGACUCGCGGCUUAUCAGCUUGUUGGUGGGGUAGUGGCUUACCAAGGCUUUGACGGGUAGCCGGCCUGAGAGGGCGACCGGCCACAUUGGGACUGAGAUACGGCCCAGACUCCUACGGGAGGCAGCAGUGGGGAAUAUUGCACAAUGGGCGGAAGCCUGAUGCAGCAACGCCGCGUGCGGGAUGACGGCCUUCGGGUUGUAAACCGCUUUCAGCAGGGGCGAAGCUUGUGGUGACGGUACCUGCAGAAGAAGCACCGGCUAACUACGUG